UAUGAGAAAGAGCAGAAUGUCAUUGAACUAGCCUUCCAACGCCAUUUCAUCAAAACACUUACUUUGUCCUUCGACUUCCCAUUCUACGGAUCUCUAAUCAGGGAAUUAAUUUUGAUGGAUGACGGCCUCAUCAGUCUUCACAUAAACGAGCCUCCUAAUCGAAACAUUUCGCCAUUUUUAAACCGAGAUUUUUUAUUGCGCAUUGAUUCCAAAAGCGCAGUCAGAUACGCCGAUAAUGGCUCUGCUCUGACGGUCCAAUGGGGGCGUAUUCAAUUGGGCCUGCAUCACGAGGUCCAAUUU